rnacentral:lncRNA from 1 species
UUCUGCACAAGCAUCCAUAUCCAUCGACUUUUAAUUGCUGACUAAAGGCAUUAUUGUUAAGUGUGUAUGCAGCCUACACCAACACUCAUUCUAUCUCCGCAUCCAAUCUUGUUCUAUCAAAUUUAGAAAGCCCUUCAUAACUUAUCAUAAUGCUGAUGAUUUUAUUAUCUCAGGCAAUCUAUAUAUGUGAAACCAACUAAGAAACUUAAAUGUAUUCAGUGGAAAGAAGGCAUCAUCUGUUGCUGGUAUCUUAACCUGUAAAACACCACCAGUGCAAUAGCAGCUGAGGAGCAGGUCAUGCAUGUUAAGUCAGGCAGAGCAGCCCGGUGCUGUGAACACCAGGCACUGUGCGUGUCUGCACAGCCCCAUCAACUUGAUCUCACAGUAAAUUUAAAAGUUUUUUCUUUAUAUUCCUUUUGUCCUUCUUUUUUCUGUUAUGUUUUCUUUGCCUGUGGUUUUACCAUUUCAGUUUCCUGCAGACGGGGAUAAUAUGUCACUCAAUUCAGCAUGGCCAUGCAUUUGCUCCUAAAUGAGUGUAAUACGGCUAGUACUGUAAUAAGUGGCAGUUUAAGAUGCAGUCAUAUUUCAUUUCUUCCUGACUGAUUUCUACACUGUUGUCUUUAAUAACUGCAUCUUUAGUUCUGCUUUUCUAUGGGAAGUAGGACUUAUCACCUUUAAUCAUGUUUCAUCUUAGUUAUACUAAAAAAGUAAGAAUCCUAGGGUAUAUUAUUACCAGAUACACAUGAACAGAAUUUUGAGAAAGAUUAAAAACUUGUAGCAACCUCUGAAGUUUUCCCCACUGGGUCUCAAUUCAGUGACAGUAAUCAGGGUCCUAGAACUCACCUGUGAGCAGACCUUUAAUUAUGGCUCCAUGCAGAGCUUCUCAGAUCUUAUUCCCUAUCAUCUUUCAAAACGAUUUCUUUGUUCUCUUGGUAUUGGUUUGUCUUGGACAUGGCCAUGGUUGGUGGAAGCUUAAAGAAAUUCUCAGAGAAACUGUGUUAGCCUUUACAUAGCUUCUGCUUGAAACAGUGCAUUUUUCUACCCAUUAUCGAGAAGAGCAAUUUCAACUUUUUUUUUAAGCUGCACUUUUAACCUUAUGUUUUUUAAAGUAUAUAAAACAAUAAUUUAUAAACACGGUAUCAAAACUCAUUGUGUUUUUUUAGACUUUUGAUAUUAUUUGAUAUUGUAUAAACUUUAUUAGAUCAAGAUUUAAGACAUACAAGACAAUUUCUUUAAGUCUUCACAGUAGUGACUUUAUAUAGAAGAAUACUGUGAUGGGACUGUACUGUAAUUUAUUAUAAAGACCUUGCUCAUGGUGAUAUGUAC